GCAUAUCAAUAAGCGGAGGAAAAGAAACCAACCGGGAUUACCUCAGUAACGGCGAGUGAAGCGGUAACAGCUCAAAUUUGAAAUCUGGCUCCUUCGGAGUCCGAGUUGUAAUUUGUAGAAGAUGCUUUGGGUUGUGGGCUCGGCCUAAGUUCCUUGGAACAGGACGUCAUAGAGGGUGAGAAUCCCGUAUGUGGCCAUGGCCCGCGCCUAUGUAAAGCUCUUUCGACGAGUCGAGUUGUUUGGGAAUGCAGCUCAAAAUGGGUGGUAAAUUUCAUCUAAAGCUAAAUAUGGGCCAGAGACCGAUAGCGCACAAGUAGAGUGAUCGAAAGAUGAAAAGCACUUUGGAAAGAGAGUUAAACAGUACGUGAAAUUGUUGAAAGGGAAGCGCUUGCAACCAGACUUGGGCGCUGCCGAUCACCCCGAGUUCUCUCGGGUGCACUCGACAGCGCACAGGCCAGCAUCGGUUCGGGUGGCUGGAUAAAGGCCGUAGGAAUGUAGCUCUCUUCGGGGAGUGUUAUAGCCCACGGUGCCAUGCAGCCCAGCCGGACCGAGGACCGCGCCUUCGGGCUAGGAUGCUGGCGUAAUGGUUGUAAGCGACCCGUCUGAAACACGGACC
rnacentral:rRNA from 2 species